GCAAUAGCUGGCCGAUCGUUACUUAGGUGGCAGGGAAGGGCGAUCGAGAAGCAAGGGCUGAUCGAUUGAAGUUGCCUGGCUCCUUGCGUGCCCUGUGCGCUGCGGGCUCUUAGCGCCUGCGUAGUGCGCCCCCCUCCCUUUCUGCCUCCUCUGCCGCCAUGGCGCCUGUGAAAAAGCUUGUGGCGAAGGGGGGCAAAAAAAAGAAGCAGGUUUUGAAGUUCACCCUGGACUGCACUCACCCUGUAGAAGAUGGAAUCAUGGAUGCUGCCAAUUUUUGACAACAGAACAAAACAAAAAGUCCCUUUUGGACGGAAGUCCCUGCAGCCCGAGGUGAAUGGCUUGCCUCGGCUCACAUGGUGCUUUGCAAAGUGUGCCUGGGCUCAUGGGUCCCUGUCGCUUCUGCGGUACCAUGCAGGUGACUCCAGGAGCAGUUCCUCCAGGAGAGAAUCAAGGUGAAUGGGAAAGCUGGCAACCUCGGCGGAGGAGUCGUGACCAUCGAACGCAGCAAGAGCAAGAUCACUGUCACUUCAGAGGUGCCUUUCUCCAAAAGGUAUUUGAAAUAUCUCACCAAAAAAUAUUUGAAGAAGAACAACCUCCGAGACUGGCUGCGUGUUGUCGCCAACAGCAAAGAGAGUUACGAGCUGCGUUACUUCCAGAUUAACCAGGAUGAAGAGGAGGAGGAAGACGAGGAUUAGGACACAUUGGUCUGCAAUGUUUUGUAUUAAUUCAUAAAUAAAAUUUAGGAACAAAACCGGUGGUUUAUCCUUGCAUCUCUGCAGUGUGGAUUGGACAGGAAGUUGGAAAUGACAGGGACUUUAACUGGGCUGCUGCUCCUUUGUAUAUAGACACUUUUUUCCUGCUCAGAAACUUGAGUUCUCCAGUAGCAAUGGCCAAACAGAAGAACCAGGCUAGGGGGCUGCAUCUGACAGAGCAAGUAGACGAGAGGCUGGGUGGUGGGCUCCGGCCAGCCCGAGUCUUAGAGCUGGUGGUUGGUUAUAUCUGGUGCCUGUCUCGAGGAGGGCUUGAGACACAGUGUGGUGCUCCUCAGAAGCAGACAGGUGAUUUCUUUGUGUGAUUUUUCUUUUCCCCUGGGACAAUGACAGUCAGUAAGACAGGUUUCAGGGACUUUUGUGUCCAGGUCUGAGCACUAGUCGCUCACAGUUGUGUGUACUAACCUUCUUCCUUCCUAUUGAAAUGGCAGGGGUCUUUGAGUCUCACUGCUGCAUGUUCUGCCUUCAUAGGGAUCUGUAAGUAUGCUGGGCAUCUGGGCUUUUAGGGGGCUCUCUAUAGGGUGUCUGAGAUAGAGGUCAACAAGGGCUUAUAGACAACUCAAACAAAGCCCAUGGCUUGAGCAAGUCUGCAACAAGCUGUUUGUCUAGCCUCCAGCAGAGGGCGAGGGAGACAGCUUCCAGAUGUUCCCAGUAGGUGGAGCCCCUCCAAGCCCAGGGCUCAGGAGGCUUACAGGGUGGGAACUCCAAUACUGGUGGAGGGAGGAGGGCGUUUGAUGGGAAGAUAGGGAAGUUGCUGCUUCCUAAACUGUCACAACUGGGCUUGGAUAGGAGUCAUAGUCUGGGACCACAGCCCUGUGGUAGAAUGCUAGCCUGGUGUGCUCCAGGUUUAAUCUCCAUCACUGCAGAAAUGAGUCCAAGCUGUGUGUACCUCCAGGGCACUGGGCAUGGGGUUCCCUUGCCAUUGUGUGUGCCCGGAGAACUGGCAGGCGGGAAAUGUCUUUAUCAAGGGUUACCUUGGAAGAGGUCCCAACACUGUAGGGUGCUCCUGUUGUCAAAACCUAUGCAGAGGCAUCUGCUUGCUCUCUAAUAACAGUAUGCAAUGCUAAAGGGCUCGCUUACAGCCGGUGGCCACACUGGAGGCCUGCACAUCAGGUGGCCACAAGUUCUGCUGCUGCGCCUCCGAGGAAACACUUGGUCCUCCGAUCGAUUUUAACCUGUUGAGGCUUUGCAAUCCCCCUGUGGCAAAGGCUCCAGUGUUUUCUAUUUCUAUGCAAAUUUCUUGAAGCAGAACUGUUACUGUCUUUCUCCUCUGCCCUGGGAGGAGGCGCUAGCGUUUCCUUCCAACUUCAGGUGCAGCCCCCCUCGUGGUUAGCGGUCUUAAGUUCGUGACUUGGGUUUGCAGAUCUUUUUUGUUACAUCGCCGGACCAUGUGGUGGUCUUUAGCUGUAAACAACAUUAACCCUGGGUUGAUUAGCAUAUGCUUCUAAAAGAUGGUCCCAGAUUCUGCGACUUGUAAUAAAAUGGAAACUUGCUGGUUUUUAUGCCUUUCUAACUCUUGUAUUUGAAUGAAUGUUGAUCACUUUUUGUAUUAAAGUGGCUGACACAUGGCUACUGUCACUGUG
rnacentral:lncRNA from 1 species